rnacentral:lncRNA from 1 species
UGCUAGAAAAGAUCUGUUCUAUAGGCUCGUACCACCGUAUUCUUAAAUUCUAAGAAGACAGGAAUCCAAGUCUGGUUGAUGAAGCAUGGCCAUGUGACUAGAGCGUGAUUAACAGCCUUCCAUAGCUCCUUGAUGUGGAUGCCGUAGAUGAUCGUUCUUAGACCUGGAGAUCUUGGGUCUAAGUUGGUCUCAUGGCUGUCUGACAGACUCCCUUUUUUUCUUUUUUCUUCGGGCAUACUAAGAUGGUCUUAUGGCUGACUGACACAC